AAAUGUAUGAAAUGUAAAUCGCUCUGGAUAAGAGCGUCUGCUAAAUGACUAAAA
rfam:Salmo salar isolate Sally breed double haploid chromosome ssa18, whole genome shotgun sequence.